rnacentral:rRNA from 1 species
UACGUAGGGGGCAAGCGUUAUCCGGAAUUACUGGGCGUAAAGCGCACGCAGGCGGUUCGCCAAGUUUGGAGUGACAGUUGUCGGCUCAACCGAUAAAGGACUUCAAAAACUGGUGAACUUGAGAGCGAGAGAGGAACAUGGAACUCCAGGUGUAGUAGUGAGAUGCGUAGAUAUCUGGAAGAACACCAAAGGCGAAGGCAAUGUUCUGGCUCGUUUCUGACGCUCAGGUGCGAAAGCCAGGGGAGCGAACGGG